UGGAGGAGGAUUCACCGGCCAGGUGCUGAAUGUGAACUGGGAUAGAUACGCCUAUCUGCACAUGAAGCACGAUGCAGAAGCAGAUUGGGUGGCGGAGGGUUGUUUGGAAUGUGGACGCGAUUGUGGGUCAGGAGAUGACAGUUCCUUCACAAUUUAAAAGAGAGAGGAGGAAGGAGAUUACGACUGAAACAGGAUAGAGACGUAAAGUCAAAAUGCGUCCAGGUUCAGUGAAUCCAGUGUAGGCGGUGCGAAGAGGCUAAAGAAGAGGAUCAUCACGAACUAAACAGCUGCUCGUCGCGGUUGACUUUCAUGGAUAUUUUAGAGGGAUGAUGCUACAUGCAUGCUGUGCUCGAGUGGACUUUAAUAUUUAAAUUAUCAUGAGAGCGAGACGAAUGGGUUUUCUAAUGGAAAAUGAAUUUGUUAAUCAGGGUGAGAGAGGAUCGCAUUCCAGAGUCCAGAGUAAUAAAAUGUUUCCAAACACAAGGAAGCCUGUGCUGAUUCCACACCAACUCGAUCGUGCUGAUCCAUGUGCUUAUUAGCAAGUUAUGACAGCUUUUUGAUCUGCAAUUUUGCUCUCAUACGCUUAGAGAUCACCUUUGAGAAGUUGACAAGGCAAUCUCCAUGCACUCUCUACAAUGAGAUCUUGGAGGAAUAUUGCGAGGUUGGGAAGAACUUCAUAGAUCAUCCGGAUCAGGCCCAUUGCAAGAGGUCAUACCGAGGCAGAGUUGAUACCGAGUGAGCAUCUCAAGGGUAUGGUUAUCCAUUCAAAAAAAAGGGGUAAGGAAAACCUCCAAAAUUUGUGUUGAAGACCGAUGAGAAGAAGGCCCCUUUGGCCCUUUCCUCCUCGUCUCCCGCGUGGAUGCCAGAUGAAGGACAUGGUUAUUUCAACAGAGGAGACAUAGAAAAAAUAAAUAUAUAUAAAGGGAAUCGAAGUAAUGGAGCACUGUCAUGUUGAAUGGCUUCAAGUUCUAUCCAAGGGGCGCGGAGAAAGAUUCACCUCCCGUCACAAGAACUGGGCCUACCUCCAACUCUUCCAGCUAGUUGACUCAACUGAAACUGUACGUGAUAAUCUGCCACUAAAACAGGUUGGAAACGGAUAAGCACUCUUCCUUGGAAUCUUGGAUCUGCGGUGGAUUCAUACAAAAUCAUUGGUUAUCCUGUUGAGAUCUACUCUAAUUCUCUAAAUUAUUAGUUUAUAAUUUUUAGGGUCAUUAUUGGUUUUUAUUAACAUAGCCCAGAACAAAUAGAGCAGGGUAGCUCCAUACAGCUUCGCCCCUGCUUAUAGGAUACACAUUGCAUAUAUUUUUAUAUAAUGGA